rnacentral:rRNA from 1 species
UACGUAGGGGGCUAGCGUUGUCCGGAAUCAUUGGGCGUAAAGCGCGUGUAGGCGGUUCGGUAAGUCCGCUGUGAAAGUCGGGGGCUCAACCCUCGGAAGCCGGUGGAUACUGUCGAGCUAGAGUACGGAAGAGGCGAGUGGAAUUCCUGGUGUAGCGGUGGAAUGCGCAGAUAUCAGGAGGAACACCGAUGGCGAAGGCAGCUCGCUGGGACGGUACUGACGCUGAGGCGCGAAAGCGUGGGGAGCGAACAGG